rnacentral:rRNA from 1 species
CAGCAGCCGCGGUAAUACGAAGGGGGCUAGCGUUGCUCGGAAUCACUGGGCGUAAAGGGUGCGUAGGCGGGUCUUUAAGUCAGGGGUGAAAUCCUGGAGCUCAACUCCAGAACUGCCUUUGAUACUGAAGAUCUUGAGUUCGGGAGAGGUGAGUGGAACUGCGAGUGUAGAGGUGAAAUUCGUAGAUAUUCGCAAGAACACCAGUGGCGAAGGCGGCUCACUGGCCCGAUACUGACGCUGAGGCACGAAAGCGUGGGGAGCAAACAGGAUUAGAUACCCCCGUAGUCCCUGUCUCUUAUAC